rnacentral:rRNA from 1 species
AGAGUUUGAUCAUGGCUCAGAAUCAACGCUGGCGGCGCGCUUAACACAUGCAAGUCGCACGAGAAAGUGGAGCAAUCCAUGAGUACAGUGGCGUACGGGUGAGUAACACGUGGAUCAUCUACCUUUUAGUGGGGAAUACCCCCGGGAAACUGGGGAUAAUACCGCAUAAGCUCGUAAGAGGAAAGCAGCAAUGCGCUGAAAGAGGAGUCCGCGGCUGAUUAGCUAGUUGGUGAGGUAAUGGCUCACCAAGGCGAAGAUCGGUAGCCGGCCUGAGAGGGCACACGGCCACACUGGCACUGAAACACGGGCCAGACUCCUACGGGAGGCAGCAGUGGGGAAUCUUGCACAAUGGAGGAAACUCUGAUGCAGCGACGCCGCGUGAGCGAUGAAGCCCUUCGGGGUGUAAAGCUCUUUCGACGGGAACGAUAAUGACGGUACCCGAAGAAGAAGCUGCGGCUAACUACGUGCCAGCAGCCGCGGUAAUACGUAGGCAGCAAGCGUUGUUCGGAAUUACUGGGCGUAAAGAGUGUGUAGGCGGUGCUCUAAGUCUGUUGUGAAAUCUCCCGGCUUAACCGGGAGGGUGCGGCGGAAACUGGAGUGCUUGAGGGUGGGAGAGGUAAGCGGAAUUCCUGGUGUAGCGGUGAAAUGCGUAGAUAUCAGGAGGAACACCUGUGGUGUAGACAGCUUACUGGACCACUUCUGACGCUGAGACACGAAAGCGUGGGUAGCAAACAGGAUUAGAUACCCUAGUAGUCC